CUGCGCCGGCCCCGGCGCCUCGGCCCUCCCCUUUCGCUCCCGCGCUCGCUCCCGCCCUCCCGGCGCUCCGGGCGCCGCGCGCGGGCCCGGCCCGGGGCAGGGCGGACAUGGGAGCCAAGCAGAGCGGCCCGGCCGCUGCUAACGGCCGCACCCGUGCGUACUCGGGCUCGGAUUUACCUUCCAGCAGCAGCAGCAGCGGAGGGGCCAACGGGACCGCAGGCAGCGGGGCGCGGGCCGCGGCCGCCGGGAGAUUGCCGGCUCAGGUGCCCGGCGCGCACCAGCCUAGCGCCUCCGGCGGCGCCGCGGCGGCCUCGGCGGCCCCGCGCAGCCGCUCCCUCGGCGGGGCGGUGGGAACCGUGGCGUCGGGGGCCCGCGCGGCGCAGUCCACCUUCAGCAUCCCCAAUAGCAGCAGCGGCCCGUACGGCUCGCAGGACUCGGUUCACAGCAGCCCGGAGGACGGCGGCGGCGGCGGCAGCGGCGGCGGCAGGGACCGGCCGGCGGGCGGGGGCCCCGGCGGGCCGCGCCUGGUGAUCGGCUCUUUACCAGCUCACCUCUCGCCGCACAUGUUUGGAGGAUUUAAGUGCCCAGUAUGCUCAAAAUUUGUACCCUCAGAUGAAAUGGAUUUGCAUCUUGUGAUGUGUUUAACAAAGCCAAGAAUAACCUAUAAUGGGAUUAUUUCACAUUUCAGCUGCUUUUGUUUUCUACUGCUAUCAUUGAGGGUUCAAGAACAAAAAAUAAGUCUUCAGAGGAUGUACUGAGUAAAGAUGCUGGGGAAUGUUCAAUAUGCCUUGAAGAGUUGCAGCAGGGAGAUACGAUAGCACGACUGCCUUGUCUAUGCAUAUAUCAUAAAGGCUGCAUAGAUGAAUGGUUUGAAGUAAAUAGAUCUUGCCCUGAGCACCCUUCAGAUUAAGCAUUUAGCUUCCUGUUUUAUAGGUUUCCUUGUCUUUUCAAGAUGCUUGAAAAACUGAGAGGAUAUGAAGAUCUGUCUCUGGAAAAGCAAAAACAAAAAUGCAGGCACACUCAGCCAGAAAUCUAAGUUCUGUGAGACUCAAUAUGCAGAGAUGGACAAUCAUACAGGAAAAAAAAAAUCCCACUCGAGAGGACAGUUGCCACAGAACUCAGUGUACCAAACAUGCAUAUAAAGGACACACAGGGAUUUUGAAAAUGCUGCAUAUCCCUUAAUAGUCAUCCACAUAGGUAAUACUGAUGAACAUUUUGUAUUCAGACGCCAAAGUUAACUGAUUUAAAAGUUGAUUUACUUUUUAUUAAGUUCUCUCGAACUGCGCAACUAGCUGUGUUUGAUUUGUUUUGGUUUUCACUUUGGGGUCCCUUUAUUUUCCCCAACAUGAUGUUCCUGCAUUCAUCUGUUCUGAAAUUGAACACCACAUAGUUUACUUCUUAAAAACUAAAGUUUUAAAUGUGACACCAAGAAAUGUAAUCAAGCAGUAAAACAUUCUCUGAAUGUAGACAAUGAUCUCAAGUUCUUCAAUUUUUGUUUUUUUCCAAGAGUGGAAAAUAGACUUCUACAUAGGAAAGCUAAAGUAUGUUAAUAUUUUAAAUUAAAGGUUUAACAUUAUCAGAAUGCAGUCCAAAGAGUGAAAAUCACGUUACCUACUUAUAUUUUAAUUGAUUAAAUCUAGGAUUAUCUACUGAAUUGCAAUUUAUUAAAUAUAUUAUUUUCUUUUAAAUAAAACUGUUCAACAGUUAAUCAGCAAUGAAUCAUCUUGCAGCUAUGCAACUUAAAAAAAAAAAAUUCACCAGUUUUAAGUGCUGCCAGCUAUAGUAACUUUGUUUUAACGGGUAUGUUUGUUUGUUCUUUUAAUGUAAUUAUUUUAUUGUGCUUUGCAUCUCUAAGCAAUUUUCCCACAUUUGGGUAAAAUGUUUAGCAGGUUGUAAACUUAAUAACUUAUGAAAAGGGUAAAAUAAAAUUUCUUGAGUGGAACUUGAAAUAAUUUGAGGGACAUUUUUAUAUACUUUUAAAAAUCAGAAUUUAAUUGGGAUGCCAGAUUUAUAGCAAUUUGCAUCUUUAAUUUUCCAGAUAAUCUGGAUGUUAGCAUUUGAUAAAUGAUUUUUUUAAAGCAAACAUGAAGAUUUUGUUAAUUUAUAAUUUAUUAAUGUUAUUACUGUAAUUGAAAAUGUUGGAGACUUUUAAAUUCAGUCUGUGUAGAAAGAAAUGUAUUAAGCAAAACUAUGCGAAUAAAUAUUCCCACAAAAUAUAUCUGAAUGGUUAAAAAAUACUGGAAGAGAGCUCUCAGGGCUGUAAUAGUGAGGGUUUUUUUUUGUUUUGUUUUGUUUUAAUAUCGAAGACACCAAUAAAUAGAUUUUGUGUUUCCAACAUAGGGAAAAUGUUAUCAGUGAACAAUUAAAGCAGUGCACUUUACUAAGUAUAAUUGAAAGUUGCACAGCACUGUUUCCUUAUCUUAAGCUUUCUUUAAUAUCUUUAAGUAUUGCUUUUCUGUUUACUGCUGCUAUUCUUAAUCCUUCUCAAAUUUUUUCCCUACUUUAUUGCUUCUGAUUCAUUUUUUUAAAGGGGAGGUAGAGGAGCAACCGCUGCUACCCGUAGAAAUUUGUGUAUUUUAAACAAUUAGAAGAGUUUUUAAUGGCUUUCUGUGUGAUUCUAGACCAGGUAACAUUUUUCCUAAAGUUAAUGCUGUGAAAUGCCUUUUGUUAUGCUGCAAUUGAUAGAAGAAUCCAAAACCUUCAUUGUGACAGCCAACAGCAUAGUUUCAUAGGUGCUUUCUUAACCAGUUACAGAAAAUAUUCUUUCCUCAAGGAAAAUAUUCUUUUCUUAAUUUUUUCUGUUGUCAUGAGAUCUUAAUAUGAAUGUAUCUUAGUUCAUGUUUUCAAUUUUCUAAGCUUUGCUCACACAUUACACGCACAUUCACACACGCACACGGAAGAAACCUCUUGGAAUGUGAAUAAUUCAUUUUGUUUCUCCUUUUCUAAUUCUAAGAAUUAUUGUGUUGGCUUCCGUUCUUAAAGGAAAAGAUUUGCUAUAGUUGUGGUAGUAAACUUUUGAUAUUCUCUCAGAAGUUGAUUUUCUGAUAUAACUUACUCAUUAUCUUCUAAAGUUGAUUGGCCUGAGUUAGUUUUCCUUCUUUAACCUGUAUCAUACUCUCAGAGUCUCGUUCACUUAGCCUCUCUUUGCAUGAGGUUCUGUGCUGCGGUUUCUGCAAUAGAAGCUCCUGUGGUUUAAAAGGAAGUUCAGUGUUUGUCCGUGUCAAGUGCUACUUGAUUAUUUGUCUAGAACAGUAUUUACUUAAAUCUGCUUAUAAAAAUCCUUUUUUUUUUUUUUUUUGGUUAAAAUUUACAGAAGUUGGCUUUAUUCUUUUUUUCUACUUUAAAAUUGAGUCUCCAUCAAUUACUUCCUAAAAAGAAGAAUUUAGGAAUUGAAGUGAAAAGAUUCGUAAAGCCUAGAUACUCCAGUUUUUACUUAAAAUUACUAUUCUGAAAAAAUAUCAUAAGUAAUAUUACACAUAGUAUCACUUGUAAUGUUUGUAAAUUUAUAUACAGACAUUGAACAGUGUAACAUAGGACAUCAGGUUACCCGAGAUAUUUAAAUGCAUAGCUGAAACUACUGACAACUGAAUAUUAUGGAGACAAAAUAAAGAUUGAAAGCCUAGGUAAUAGUUUUCUAGAAUCUUUGUAAAUACUUGUUUUCAAAUAAGAUCGCAGUUGGGUAUAUAGAUUUCCUUGAGGGCCACCCUUUUCUUCAUAAUGGAUUUUUUAUUGCCAAUUUUGACUCAUUUUAUGUUAAUCUGGCUUCCCCCCCCCCCCCAGAAUGUAUAAGAGAGUGUAAGAACGUAUAAGAGUCCAAUCAUUCUGUCUUCUUCUGGCUCCUUCCCAGAGAAAUAGACUAAGAAUAGUCUUAAUCUGUGUUUUCCAGGUCUGGUUAUAAAUCAGAUAUAGAUUGUGUUUUAAAAGUGGUGUUUUGAUUGAAAUAUAAAUAGCGUUUUCUAUGACUGAUUUUUUUUUUUUUUUUUUUUGUGGUAGCCAGAACAACUAAAAAAAGUCAGGUUGGCUGUUAUCUGCUGUAUACUGUUUAGAUUUUGGUUUCUUAGUGCAAGUCUUCUAUUUCAUUUAAAUGUUAUUUACAGUUAUUUCAGUUUUCUCCUACUAAACAGUGUAGCCCUCAAAUGCCUGAGGAGCACAUUUGCAGUCUGUAUUUUGAAAAGAUUUCAGUUUAAAUUAGUUAAUGAAAAUACCAGAUUUUUUUCAAAGCUGGUUUUGCCUUCUAAAUUUGGGUAUGGUGAAGUUUAAGAGCAAUUGUUUAAUAUGUAGCAAGACCCGGGGAUAUUCCUUUAAAUGAAAAAAGCCUGUAAAUUUAAUGUAAAUAGUAUCUAAUUUUAUUUACUAACUUGGAGAGUUGAAGAAGGAAAAUUUCCUAACAAUAAGCUACAUUUGAACAAAGCAUGAACUUCUUUUUUAAAAUUCAGGAAUAAUUGAACUUAUCAGAUUGACAUCUACAUUAUGCAUUGUUAAUAAUAUCCAGUAAUCUUAUACUUUCAAAGAGGAAAUUUCCACAUAAAUCAGAUUAUUAGGAAUUUUGUAAAACGACAUAGAGGUAAAUAUUGCUAUUAAAUAUGAGUACAGUUUGUUAGUUGCAGGAAGUUUCCUAGUUCAUUAGAGCCAUUUUCUUGAAUUUUGAUUUAUCCUGAGGUGAACUCCAUACAUACUGACAAUGGGUGGUUAAAUGCAAAAUGUUCCUUGUUCUUGUACAGAUAUUUUCCAAGUUAAAACAUUUUAGCAUGCCAAUAUUUUGUCUUUGGCCCAUUCGCCUUUAUUUCCGAAGUAUGUAACUUCUGAUUUUUUCUUUGCUGUAUGGUAAAGCAUUGUAGUUACAUUAUCUGUGUUACUGACCACUUUUCUUCUCAACCCAGAUCUUUUCAUUCUGAAAGUAAAUUGUUACUUGGUUUACUUUAUAGGAAAUUGCUACUUGGUAUACUCCUAGUAGUGAUCCUUAUUCAGGAAUAGCUGGUAAAACUUUUUUGGUAGCAACUUAUACAGACAAUACUUUGAGUACCAUGUGCAGUGAGUGCUAUGCUUAAGAUGGGAAACCGAAUUUCUUUUCAAAUCACAGAAUUCCUGUACUGAAUGGGAAAUACCUCGUCUUCCAAGUUACCUGAUUCUCCAUGGAAAGUACAAGGCAUCAAAGAAAACCGGAUAUGACAAUGUUUAGUUUUAGUUGAAAAUGCAACAUCACUCUACUUAGGAGAGUUGGCAUAUUUUCAGAUACUUAAGCUAUCAUAAAUUUUAGACCAAUGGCUAAUAAUAGGAUAGAUUGAUUGUUGGUUCCUUAUUUAUAGAGAGGCAAAAAGCAGCAUGGCAUUAACUCACAUUCCAGUAAUAAAUGAAAUUUUAAAAAGUGAUGUUAUAGUUUUGACCACCA